CAGAGGAAAUUGAAGAAGCCGACUAUGUUAAUGCAGCAGUACGCACUGUGGACAAAAUGCCAGUCACCUUAGAUAAGAAGUCUCCCUCCUUCACUCAGUCUGUUCCAACAAUAGCAGUGAGUUGGGUUGUACUGCUUGUAAUUGUGGGUCUUCAUAUCUACUUUACCUCUGUCAUUUCUGAAAACAACAACUAGCUGAAUGAAGAAAUCCUUAACCUGACAACACGAAACCAGGAACUAGAG